CAAAAUUACAGGUUGGGUUAGUAUCAGGCUUGUUAAAUGGAGCUUGUUACGAAGCGUUCUUAAAAAAUGGAGCCAUAGGUGAUAGAGGUCCACGAGGUUGUACAUACCGGUUGUACGAAAAGGACGCACCACGAUUUCAGCGAUGGCAGCUUUAUGACCGAUUAAAGGCAACCUCAUCGCCAGGUGGGGCCUCCUCGUGUAAUACCGGCUUGAGGUUUAUGGUCGAGAUGCAUUUAAAGCGCGCACCGCGCGUAACAGACCAAGCCGGGAUGAUCGUUCCUUCGUAGCGGCGAAACAUUCAGUCAGCCAGUCAACCUACAGGCCGACUGGCUUCCUAUGUGGGUCACUUGCACCUCGCAUCACCGCGACGAUCAAAGACAACGAUUCAUUCCGAUAACGAAUUGAAUUUAUUAAAAGCAGUAAUUGCCUUCCUGCUUGGAACCGGACUCGGGCACGACUCUCUCUUCUUAAUUGCUCGUAGUCUCAUUGUUCCGGCACGUCGAGCUCUUCCUUCUUGCUCCGGGAAGUUCUUCUGGAUGUAAUCAUCCUGGAACGGGAAUAGAAUCGAGUUUUGAGAUCGAUCGAUCGAACGGAUUGACUGUCCGACACUUUCGACACGUUUCCGAGCAUCGAUAUAUCGUUAGAGAAUUAUUCAAGAUGGCGUGGAUGUGUAUAACACGUAGGCUAGAUGCACCGCGAACGACAGCUCGCUGUGUAAUUUAUGUAGUUCAAUUAGAGUCGUAGAAUUUAUCAUCGUCAAGUCCAAUUAAAAAGUAGGAAAUGCGUAGCCCCGUUCCGUUCUAAAAAACCUAUGUCCGCGAAUAUCAUGGUAAACCUUCGGCCGGGUAAAUAAUUAUUUUAUUGUCACGCAUUCGAAAUGAACGCGACGGAUUUUAAAAAAUUUUUAUGAAACUUUUUAGUCUACUUCAGGAUAAUCUAACCUUACUUUACUAUAACCUACGCCUACCGUCUAACGCAACGUAAAGCUAUACGUACUUGUAGAAAAUCGAGAGUCCCCUCCUGGAACGGUGUUACAGUGAGACGUCGUUAUAUCGAGGAAAUACGAAAUGUUGCGCCAGGUUGUCGCGGAGACAAAACGACGCGUCACGGUCACGCGUAUGGCGUCGGGACGCGACGAACACUUCGGCUAGUUUUCUUUGGUAAAAAACGACUCGAGAAUUAUGGUAGAUGGGUAUAAGUUUAAUAUGGCUGCUUACGAAACAACUUGGAUCCACGGAUCAUAAUUUUCAAAUGGGUGACAACGACGCCCGUUUCUCGCGACAGUUUGUGCCGGAAAUAAUUAUCACGUCUUACAGAAUACAAUAAGACUCAUAUAUUCGACGAAGGUCUUACCUUCAAGUGACAAAUUUACUAUAUCAUUCAAGGAUUUUCGAUGUACAAUCUCUGGAAUCUUGAUAAUUCUUCAUGGAACAUUUUAAGCACUUUAAACUGUCUCUGCACAUAAGAAAUAAGAAUAAUAGGAAGAUCAGUAGUGUGUGAAAUAACGUUAAGGAGGUUGCAAAAGAGAAUGAUUCUCAGGUAACCUAUACGCACUGUGAUUUCACAGAGACAAAGCAGUCCUUUGAUUAAAUAUGCUGAACCUGUCAUCUUGUCUAACAACAAGUAUAUAACUAUAACUAUACCAUGCACAUUAUCCAAUUGUAUCUCAAUAUAAUGGAAACAAUGCAAAAUGGUGAAAGUUGCACGAUGAAAGAGAAGUAUCCAUUCCACAUUCCAUUGUAGAAUCCGUGGGAUGACCCAACGAUCCUCCUUCAGGUCAGGUUACUGUCAUCCUUUAAAUACUCUCUUGUUUUAUUCUAAUGUUCUUUCCUUUUUAUUUUUAAUUUCUCACUCCGGUAGUCCGGCAAUAAAAAUGUGAUGUGAAUUCGAACAUUGUGCGUGAAGAUCAAUUUACAGUUAAUGCUUGGUAUUUCUACCGGGGAAAGUCUCCGUGAAUCAUAUCGUACAUACAUCUAGGCUUAGUUAUGUAAAUCCUGGAAUAAGUAAGAAGAAAGAGAAAGAGGGAGAGAUGAAGAGAAAAGAAAAAUUUGCUCGUUCUUGCGGUAAGUUUUCGAUAGCGACAAUUUUUUUAAUCUCUUUUUUGCACGUCGAUCCACUUACUCCGUCAUGGCAUAUUGGCAUACAUGUAUUACACGAGUAUUACAAUCUGUAGCUGUUUGCUGAUCCAGGUUCUUAUCUUUAGAUUGUCUGUCGCUGGUUAUAUCGCAAAGUAAAGUGACAGAUGAUUAUAAUCAUACGUAAUUUAUUUCUCAUUAUCGCAUACGUAUGAUUUAAUUGAUCAACAAGUUAUACCAAGAAAUUCUGUCGUAGAAUCCAGGAAACUUGUUUGAAACUUACCUUCUAGAAGUUGAAAAGCCAGAACCUUAGUGGGAAGUGUUGAGAAGCUCGUAUCAAGUUUCCAUUAUCAGAAAUGGCCAAUAAAACAAGAACAAGAUAGGAGGACAAGUUUCCAGACUCAGGCUUCUCGUAGUUUGCAUUAGAUUAACGUGGGAAUUACAUAUGACGUAAUUUCAUUAAAUCUUUCUGCCAAAAAACGUUGGCUGCGAAUUUCAAAUAUCAUAAGACAUUUUACUUACAAUUAGAUUAAAUUACAUCUAGUACAGUAAAUUCUAUCGGUUUGAAUUCAAUAUUAAUUAAUGUCGUUCAAAAGCUCAAAGAGACUGCCUAAAAACCGGAAGUAAACUCACAACAGAAUCAUUUCGUUGUGUGUCCCUCGAAAGUAGACGCAGAACAAACAUAACUGUUGACAGGAAAGUGGCGAAACAAGAAGUAUAAAGGUGCCACGCGUUGUGCCCGUCAAGAACCUACCUUUAAUAUCUACAUAUGCUGGAACGUAUCGUACACAUUACGAAACAAAGACACGGAAAAUGGGUGUUUUUCGGUCGAGGUUAAGCAAGUCGUUAUGUCUUUUAACACCCGAGAGUCAGUAGGUCUGCACGCGUCUCACGCGUACAGUUACGAUAGUUGCGUAAAGCCUCUUUGGCGUAUGCAGGAACAUUACCCAAAGUCAACAUGUCAAAGAUAACGGGUCGAAAACAACGAAAUCGCAGAUUUACCAUAGAAUGAUAAAAAUGUAUGGUAAAGAGAACAAAUAUGUUUCAGUGGAAAAUGAUGUGCACUCAGUGACAUUAGAUAUUGCAGAAAGAACAAUCAUUACAGCCAUAAAACAAUCAGUCCGUGGAUACGGUGCCAUCUGUCGUCCAAUGGUUAACAUGAGAAUCAUCGUCCUGAGGAUUCGCCUUCUCGUAAAUAGACUUCUGCUACUAGUCUUCGAAUUCCUACUGGAAUAAUGGCGGCCAUGACUCCUAAACUCUGUCUACAUUGCAAGUGCGGUAUUUUUGCUCCCUCGUGGAUUUACGUGCGGCUUGUAUUUGCAUUCACGCGUAUCCUCUCGCAUGACGUGUCAUCAAGGUUACGGAGAAGGUCUCCCUCAAGAUAAGCUAACUGUACUUAACUGAGAAUUCCUAUGGUGCGCUUGUGGUAGGUUGGUAGGUUGGUUGGUUGGUUGAGUGGUUUGUUAGUUGGUUGGUUGGUUAGACACUAUAUGUAUGACACUUUAUGUAGACUAUCGAUUUUAUGCUGGUAUCUCUUGUGUAUAAAUAUAUAGAUAGAGAAUCUCAAUGGUGGCUGUCAUUAAUGAUAGCUUUUAUAUGAUUAAUUCAAUAAAGUGUCGUUGGGCAAUCUUUUCGAGUUGAAUGAUUUUUUUUCUCGAUAAAACACAAAGGGUACAGCGAUAAGAUUGUGAUUGAGAAUGCAUGAAAUUGUUAUAUUAAUAAUUACAAUAAUUACGACGUGGGUGCUGUUAUUAUUCAGGGAAAAAAGGCGCACGUAAGCUGUGUAAUGGAAUGGAGGUAAACGAAGAGAAAGCGCAAAUUGGUCGGCCGGAAAUUGGCUGGUUGCUAAAUUAAUGCCAUGUAGAUAUAUCGUUGGCAUUUAAUGUACAACAAAAUUGCGCGUAGUGUUGAAAAUUUCUGUUAUGAAUAAAACGCACGGCGGAUGUUACUUGCUGGAAGAGCAACUUAUGAGUUUCCGGUAUGAACAAAUUAUUUUCCUCGUAAAAAUCCAGCCAGUGUGUUUAGACUCGUGAUGCACGUACAAGGAUUUUUUGUAUACACGAAGAAGAGAGAACGAGAGAGAGAGAGAGAGAGAGAGAGAGAGAGAGAGAGAGAGAGAACUAAAAAGCGAGAGUCAGAGAGAGUUGAAAAACAAUUAUGGUCAUCAAAUUAAUGCGUUUAAUCGCAUUAGCUUCGAAGAACUCUACUUUGCGAAACGGCAAUGUUACGUAUCGCGUGACAACGAGGUUCGCAUGGAGAGGAUAUCGAUACAACAUAGAACAUUGACGACACACGUACAUCAAAGUGAUUUGAAAAAAGAAAUUCUGGGAUACGAUAUUACAGUCGAAUGGAUAAAUUCGAAAGGGACCCUUGUGGAUACAAAAG